CCUGUCUUUGUCCUCUGCAUUAACGGCAGGUCUCAAAGAUUAGCUAAUCAUUAUAAUGAUAGCCUUAUUAAGUACAAUUACAGAGGCGGAACAGUAGUUAAUGUAUAUUGGCUCACAGUGGGGCCAGGAAGGCUGAGACUCCUGUAAAAAAGCCACUCAUGCAGACACAUUCAAAAAAGAGUGACACUUUAGCUGAUGAUGUCACCAAGGCAAACAAUACAGCGGGAUGAAAUGAAGCUUGUGUUCCAGACAAUGUUGGCCUGUAUCCAUGGCAAAUCACAAGUGGCUUUAACUUUCCCAGACGUGAACAGCAAAGCUGGAAGUCACACAAGCUUACUGACAUCCAGACACAAGACAAAUGAACAGAUGAAUAAAUAAACAUAUGAAGCAAGUGGGAUUAAACACUAAAGUCUACAUUUUUUUUGGAUGGACAGAUCACAGACGUACAGACAUGCAUGGCUGAAACAAAAUACAAAGAGACUCAAUAAAAUGAGCUUGGAUCCUCAUCAACAGCCGGAAUACUUUACAGAGGCCUUCUGCCCAAACUCCCUCCCUCCUCUUCCCAGCUCUCCUCUCUUCCCCUCCCUCUCUUCCUGCUCUUAUCCCCUCAGAGAUAGUGAGAGCCGUCAGAUGUGGUUUGUCCUGACGGCUGACGGAUCGGCCAAAGACACUCGUCUCUGGGCACUCCUCUAUAUAUUGUUAAUUUAAUGCAUGAUGACGUGGCCAAUUAUGGAGUGGCCGCACGCUCAAAUAGCAUGUCAAAACCUGUGUAUCAAUCUAUUAGAUCCUGUCUCCUCAUGGCAUUAGCAGGCACCUUAAAGCAGCUCUGGGGUUCACCGAGGGAGAGAAAGUGCUUAGCUCAUGGGGAUCCUGCCUCAGAUCUCAUCCAGGCCUUUUAGAGAAUAAAAAAAUACAUCCACUAACAAGAACGGCGUGCAGACACGGUGUCAAUCAUCACCACGGAAACAGACCCCAUGAUGUCACCCAGCUGGCCCAGCUCGACAGCUGAUGGGCAUCGGAGACGGCGCUCACACCUCUGCUGUGCUCUGAUUGGCCCAAUUACUCUGCUGCAGUACUAAUAACCCAAUGCUCCAAAUGGCCCUAAUCCCCUUCAUGCCUCUCAUAUGACUGUGUUCAUUUCGAUAAUAAAUCUUUUUUGUGGUGCAGUUUCACAUACGUUUGUUUAUCCUUUUGUCCUUUGGCUUGCAGAUGCAAAACAUUGUGGUAGAUAUGUUUAUUAAUCUUAUAUUUUAACAUUUAUACAUGCUUUUAUACAAAGUGACCGGAAACAAUUAAGCAUAUAAAUGAGUAGUUGAAUGUUGUCGAGUGGCUCUCUGGCAGCCAUGGGAUUUACAACUAACUUACGUCCAUUGUGUCAUAUUACUACAUCUCUAGUAGUUUCCUACAUCUCUAAAAAAGCUAAAUCUGUAAAUUCAUGCUCAGAGAUCACGCACAUACACUGUACACACUUAUUCCAGGAGUGUAAACAGUGCAACAUGACAACUCGGCUACUGCGUGUCAGAAAGGACAGGAAAGGAGAGAAGGAGGAGGAGGAGGAGGAGGAGGAAGAAGAGGGGGGCAAAGGGUUCUGAGCAGAAGGCCCGGGCAGACACCACACUCCCAUGGGCGUAAUCGCUCUUUGUUUAUGCUGCCAGGGUGUUAUUUUAGCUGUCUGUUUAGGCCUGUGUCUGAGUGACUUGGUACAGAGAUGCGAGGGCACAAACUAACAUGUUAAGAAAUACUCGACCACGAAGGCUCAUCUUGGAGCAUCUGCGCUCGAUGAAUUCAUACAUUACAGCCAGAGCCGGAAAAAACAAGCUGUUCUGACAUAUGUCUGGGUUUAUGAUAUGCAUAAAACAUGUUUGUUUCGCAAAUGUGGAACAUUUUUCAGUGUUGCUCAGAUGAAGCCAAGCUAAUGCUAACAAACACCACUUCCCUCUUCAGGAUUAAUAGUAUAGUUUCCAAGCACACCUUAAUAAAAACACUUGGACCGUCUCACUGACACUGCUGAUUGUAAUUAUUGUUUAUUGUGGGCGGUAAAGCCUACCAAAGUGAAGGCGCAUGCUGGGCUUUGAAGCUUGGGUAAGUACAGAUAUAACACACCAGAUUGCUGGCAAACGCAAAACACAUAAACAGUCCCACACAGAUGCAGUGGCUCAUGCCUCAGUUUCUGAUACCAGUCCAUACUGGCCACUAAGCUGAAAGGAAUGUGCCGUCUCUCUGUUUUAGUCUCUCUCUCCCUGUCUGUCUUCUGAGUGAAGUACUACCUCAGUAGAAUAUAAUAAGAUUUUAUUUAACAAAGUGUCCAUGUCAAACAAGGCCCAUUCCUCUGACGACAGCCAUUGCGGGAGGCGAUAUAUAGAGAGAGAGAGAGACAGAGAGAGACAGAGAGAGAGAGAAAGAGAGAGAGAUGGCUGUCGAAAAAAACGGCAGCCCGAGAUUGGCCCGGGAUUCAUUAAAGCUCAGAACACGGCACAUAUUUUCAUUAUUCACACAAAGGUACGUGUCAGCUAAUCACGGUGAAAUCGCCGGCGUUUAAAAAGCUAACAGACAGACUCCAUUCAUUACGUCAAUUAUGAAUUAGCACCUCUCCGCCAUCUCACGCGCUCGGAAACGUCUACUGCCGUCUUAAUUAGCCAAACAUGGGGCAUCAAUUCCUGUCUCUACACACACAUACACAUAUACACACACACACACACACACACACAUACACACACACACACAUGCACACACACAGAGAGCUGAGAUUUGAAAUGGCAUGUAGGGACAUUUAAUGAGGGAGGCUCUCGAGUUUGUCAUGGUUUGACAAUACAUUACCUAUCUUAUAGCCGUGCCUGUUUCAAGUAUAAAAUCUAUCAACAGUACUUGCGGAGGAGGUUUGGCUCCAUAAGAAACAUGCAGGAUUUACACACACCGCAAAUAUGCAGUGCCAAACAGUAUUGCAUAGACAGUAAAAUAAUCAGGGUUGAAAUAACUCUUAUAGGGUUUGAGUCUUGUUCAAAUGAGGGCUAGAAUGAUGCCUACUGGUUCUCUGUUUGUGUGGUCUGUCAGACUGAUUCUCUUAUUAACAACACACGUCGUGUGAAAUUCAUGCUAAUUGGGUCAACUGCGGAAAUUUGCACUGUGAUGCAGUAAAACGGCACGUUUUUGUAUUAAACAAAACAAUAUAGUACUUAAAUCAAUGAGUUAAAAAAUAAUCCAAAUUAAUAAAGGAAACAACAAACGUUGAAUUGGAUAUUAUUUGAAAUUAAAUGGACAUCCUUGUGUACAUGCUAGAACAUCUUACACUCUCAGAAAAAAACUGUACCUUUCCUUGACUUGUGUCUUUUUUACCUGGACACAUGGAUAUAAUGGAUCUCAGUUAGUUUUUAGUUUUUAGGGUAAAAAUUUAAAGGUACACUACAUGCAGCUUUUUAGGUAGAAAAAUACAACAACAUACUAAUGGUACAAAAGAUGUACUCUUGAGGAUACCACCCCAGCGACAAGGUAAUGUACACUUUAUUUAUUUACUUGCUUACUUACUUAUUUACUUACUUACUUAAUUGUGUACUUACGUACUUACAUUUCUAUUAUUUAUUUUGCGCUAUUGAAAACCUUAUUUGCCCCAAUGACCUUUUUUGAGUGUGUAAAGAUAAAAGAAGUGAGACAUGCCAACUUGAAAAACUACCAUUUCUCUCUAACCAUGCUUCUAAAAUCCAGCCAACGUGUUUGAAUCAUGUCCAAAACAUACCUAUACACAAGCAACCAUGACCCCCCCAAGUACCACCCUGAGCCAUCUGUCCAGCACAGCUGAGAUCAGAUAUGAGCCCCUGUGCUGUCUAAACCAGGCCACCUUCUUCUGUGUCACUGCCUCUUUAAGAGGAAGCCUCUCCCCUUUUCUCCUGCUGCCACGGCUACAGCCAACGAGGACUGCGAAGUGUGACAUGAUCAUGCUCACUUUACGUAGUUAAGCCCUCGCCCGGGCCGACCACUCCAGCUGCUCAAUGAGUCAUUUGAUUGUCAUCUACCUCGUGCACUCUCAGGCAGAGGAGGGGGGAAAGAGAGAGAGAGAGAGAGAGAGAGAGAGAGAGAGAGAGAGAGAGAGAGAGAGAGAGAGAGAGAUCGAGAUUAAGAAAGGGAGAGAGAGAGAGAUGAUACAAUAAGAGAGGGAGAAUUAAAGGAAGACAAGAUGGUACACAUAGGAAAGAGAGAGAGAUGGGAUGGGUAGGGAAGAAGCAUUGAGGUAGAAAGAUGGAGAGGGAUAGGAAUCGGUUUGAGAAAGAAAAAGAGAGAGAGAGGGAGAGUGAGAGGAGCGCCUGGAGCGUUGUCUGCUCAGGAUGACAGGCAGUCACAGAGGCCGAGCCACCGCACAGGCAAAAAUAAGUGAGUUAGAACAGAGCUGCUGGCUCUGUAAUAAAGCGUUUAAUGGACAGACAGCCUCUCCUUGCCUUCCUCAGGGCAACACUAAAUCCCUCUUUAUUGUAGUUUGCACAGAUGUUAGUGAGUUAUCCAUUUCUCUAAUCACACUGGAUACUGGCACAUCCAUCUUAAAGUUGAAAAACAUCCCCCUCCCGCCCAUUCAAACACACACACACACACGCACACACACACACACACACACACACACACACACACACACACACACAGCCUUCCUCUCAUCCCUCAUUCCUCCUUUAAAGUUGAAAAUGAGUCAUCUGUAGGUCACUUGCACCGAUACAAAUAGAAUUCAGACAAUAUUGUGUCCCGAUUUGAGGGUUCAUGCAAUUAGCUAGCGCCGGCGGUCAGGCUUGCUUUAUGGCUUUUGGUAUGUUUUGCGGCUGGACGUGAUAUUGCUGAGCAGCCCCGUCAUAAAGACACAGACAUUGUCCUCGGGCCUUCAUCACAGUAACACGAUUCGCCGCCGUUGAGCAGGGCCAACAAUGUCAGAUUGGUUUUGGACCCUCCGAAUUUCAUAACGGUGAGCUUUGGCCAACGCAAGCAAAUGCGAUUUGCUCAUUGACAAACAACAAAGUGGGGUAAGAAAGUAAGUUUGGAUUAGAGAGAUGUGGGUCAGGAUAAAAUGAUAAGUACGGGCAUGUGUGCUUUAACCUGAUGUAAUCUCGUUCAUCAGAAAUCAAUUCCGUCACCAGAGACAGUGAGGGUUUAUUUGAUUUUAUUUUAUUUUCAUUUUUUUCUUGCACCACUUUCUGUGGAACGUUCCAUGGAAAAAUUGUGUUUAAUGUGGUUGUUUUGUUUUGUUUGGCCACUUUAAUAGACAUGGUGUCUUCUUUUCAUCAUUCUGCUUCUUGGGAAUUGAGACAGACUGUCUGUCUGUGGCCAAGAGCAUGUGAGAGAUUCAAGCAUAAAUAAAGAAGGGAGCACAAGGAGGAAAACAAAAGCGAAGCGAGACCCAUUCGGUAUUCGGCGAAACGCAGACGGGUUAAAUCUGGAAGCGUGACAAAAAUGUGUCUAGCUUAAUGAUGUCAACUAGUGUUGUCUCUGCCUUUCUCUUCUCUUCUCUUCUUUUCUCUUGCUUUCUCAUCUCAUCGCUCCAUCUGCUGAGAAGUUUGGAUGCAAGCAUGCUACCACAAGCCACAUAAGGGAACACAUCCGCAUCUUAAUUUCACUGAUUAGUGUCAGUUUUACUAUGAAAUGUCAAUAUGAAAAUAAACCAGCACAAAUAAGCCUCGAUGCAAUAAACGAACGGCUGUGUCGGGACGCCGCAUGGCUGGAAGCUGGCGCUUAAGCAGUGUAAAGAAUGGAGGAACGCGAGGGAAAAGGUCAUGGAGAGUUCAGCAUGAUGGAGAUGAGUGAUGGUUGUAGAGCGAAGGGGGGCUCUGUAGCCAGCUCUUGUUCUUUUCUGUGCUGGCUGACGGGCCUCACAGCGGUAGCCUGAGUCUUGAUGGAUUGGCAGCCAGUGAAAGGAAACACACACUCCACCAGCAACAUUACCACUCCCACUAGUCCGACACUGGGGCUUGAGAGAGUGCUCAGGACCGCCCUUCCUUUCUUUCUCGCACUCGCUAUGCUCGGAGCUAACCUUUGCUAGAUGCCCCCCUCAGGCUGCUUUCGAGAGCCGUAGGGAUCUAAGUGAAGGCAGCGAGUAAAGUGCUUAAUAGUUGGCUGUCCUCGUGACCAGGUCAGUCUGAGAGGCAGGCUUGAGACGAAGGAGAGCUUGUUGUACCUGGCUGGACACUAAAGGGCUCAGAGCGGCAGGGGUGGGCUACUAAAAUAAACAUCAAAGGAGACGAGGGGAUGUGUAGCAGACCCUUUUGUUGCCUUGAAAUGGAGGGCUCCCCAGAGGGUGAGGAGGGGUAGUGUGUGUGUGUGUGUGUGUGUGUGUGUGUGUGUGAGAGAGAGAGAGAGAGAAAGAGAGAGAGAGAGAGAGAGAGAGAGAGAGAGAGAGAGAGUGUGUGUGUGUGUGUUGGUGGGGGGCAAGGGGGUGAAGGGGGUGUGUGUUAAUGUCAGUGCUAAAUGAAAUGGUCUGUCCUGGGCGCGCUUCCUGGUGAAAUAUUUUUGAUAAAUAAAUCACAGGUCCAUGAACGCCCUAACCGCUUAGCGACCAAAUGCUGGGCUGCCGAGAUAAUCGAGACAGCGUUUACUCACUUUUUUCAUAGGUCUUCAUCACUUCGUUGUCCUGCUGAGAAGGAAAGGAGGGAACCAUGCUGCAGCGGAAUCAAGGCCAACAACAAAAGAGUUUCUGAAGUGUUUUUUUCCCCCUUUUGUGUUGCAAGUUUCACAAAAAAUGUUCAGUCUGGUUUAUAUCUCUCAGAAUGCAAUGCCAGUCAUCCUGCAGGUAGAUUCAUAGCUAAUCAAAUAGCCUCAAACAUGCAAAUUAUUACAAAUUCCAUGAAAAGGUUACGGUUACGGUUAAGGUUAGGGGUGGAAUUAAAUGUUCCUUUUCUUACAACUUCAUAUUAUGUAUUAAGCAUAAUAAUACACAUACAACCAUGAUGCUCUUGCUUGAUGCUUGAUCUACUUGCUAUGAGCAAAGUAUUUGUAUGUUAAUGACAUGCUGUUUCUUCACUGUCCCACUGUCUCAUGUCGCAUUACACUUGUGUUGUAAUUACACUUGGCCCAGCUUUGAUUGUCUCACCCCUCCAUGUGCCUCAGUUCCCUCCUGUAGCACUCAGCUGAGUCACAAGCACAAGGUCACUUUCAUAUCAUAGCUAAUGUAACUUCCUUAUACCACAAAGUUGUUGAAUGCUCAAUUCUGAUUGGUUGGUCAAAAGGUUUUUUUUUUUUUUUUUUUUUUUUUUUUUACAGCACACCAAAAGUGUUUCCACUUGCAAUGUUUAAAUUAUACAGAUGGAUUAAAAUGUGUUUUAUUAUAGAUAUAGUGAAAUGUUCUGUGAGGGGACAUUUAUUCAGCAGUUUGGGAAGGAGACUCCAUUGCCAGUGUUUUAAGGUAAAGCUUGUUCCUUCCAGCAUGUGAAAUUCUUCAGUAUAGGACAACAGGACAAGUUGCAUUUUUUUUUUUUGUCUUAUUAAUGUCCAGAGAGAUAAAAAAAGAAAAAAAAAAAAAAAAGAAAGAGAGGCUGGUGAGGGGACAACUGUUUACAGCUGCUAUAAAAAACAGAUAACAAGAAUAAAUUUGUUUCGCAGAUGUUCCACAACAUUAAUAUAACUAUAAAACGAUGAAAUAUACAAAGUGUCAUUCUUUAAUCAUUAGCGCUGGCAAAUUGCAGAAUAAAAUACCUCCAGACAUGCUGAUAUUACAAAAUAAUCCACUUCGGGGUGAUGACAGUAACUUUGCGUCACAGCAGGCCGCAUCACACCACCAUAUCAUUGAUUAUUUUCCUAUCACAGCAUCAUGUUUUAUUUUAUUAUGACCACUAUGGGGACUAUUUCUUUUAAACACCAUCAGAAGUAUUGUUAUAAAAUGGUACAUGCAUCUCUGAACAACCAAUCAGUGCAUCUUAAUAUCAUCUAGCAUUACCAGUUUGUCUAAAAAUAACAAAUCUAUUUUGACACGACCGUGAACUAUAUCAAUUACAUUUGAACAUGCACACAAAGCGCCUCUGUUGUGUCAAACCUGAAGCUUGGUAAUGACAUGAACCAAAACCUUAGUGACUCUGAAGGUGUCUCAUGAGCACGCCUGUUCUCACAGCCAUUUGGAUUUGUUUGCUUGUUUGUUUUCCAUGUGUAGGUCCCUGUGGAUGUGUUUAAUUGCUCAACCUGAUUGUGUAAUGUAUUCACAGUCGAACAGAAUAGACAGGGUAUAAUACUUGCUUAUGUGUGUGUGUGUGUGUGUGCGUGUGUGUGUGUGCAAGAGUGUGUGUGUGUGUGCGAUCUCGAGUGCUUCUGUGAGCUCUGGUGCAAAGUGUGUCUCAUUUGUACCCUGUGUUCUAAUAAAUGUUAAGCUGUCAACCAGUGUGUCAUGCUGCAGUAUGCACACACUCUGCUAAAGGACUGAUGCUCUACAAACAGCUCCAGCGGCAGGAUGAUAAUAGACCUCGGUUGUAUUAUUAAGGUUUUUCUGAGGACGGAUAUGGAAACAUGGGUAUUUGCCAAGUUCACGCUUUAUGCGUUUGCGUAUAUCCAUCACGUAUGUAUAUACUGUAUCUACUAUAGUGUAUAAGAUGUACAUAUGGUAGGCCAUAUGUAUCUGUUCUCCAUUUAUGCUGGUAUAAUUAGUUAUAGGCGGUGCGUUUGAGCUUGGAUCUCACCAAAUAAAGCUGCCUGGAUGGGCAUGUGUGUGUAUGUGUGUAUGCGCUGAAGCGGGUGAGAUGGGGGAGGUGGGGUUGGGGUGGUGUGGUAGGGGAGGAGAUGAUUAUGCCCAUCUGUGGCGGAUGCCAGGUGUGCCGCCCCACCCCCCUCCUCCUCCUCUCGGCUGCGUGAUCGUGAUGCUCCGCUCCCCUCAUCACACUCCAUCAGCCCGCUCCAGCUGCCAGCCACCACGCUAACUAGUACCAUGGGGCACUAGAGCAUCUCCGCACUGCACAUACACACACACACACACACACAGAGUAGCUCUUACAGACUGUGAGACGAUGUAGCAUUUGUUCCUCAAAAUGACAGAGACACUUGCUGAUGUGCGGAGAUUCAAAUGGCUAAUACCGAGAUUAAAGUAAAGUUGAGGCACAGAGUCAGGGCCAGAGAACUUGCUUUCAAAAAGAAAGGAGGAGCAAAAAUGAAAGGAUUUCUGCUUUUCUGCAAGCUAACUAGUUUGUUUUCUUGCAACAGUGCCUGACAAGCAGCAUUAAGCAAAUAUCAGUGCAAAACCGUGGUGUAAGUGGAAGUUUCAUCCAUUUUUAUUCUCCAGAAAAAUGGUACCACAGCCACAUCUCUGCCUUCUUGUUUUUCUAUUGGCUCAACUUGACAGCAUAAAUUUCACCAUGAAGCAAAAUUAACCACCUUGAGAAACAAAAAUCAUUUUUUGCGUCCCAAUAUCUUUGUCAAUGAAGUAAAUUUAACUGACCCUUGUUUACAGGAUAUGCUAACACACGUGAACACAUGCACAUAGCACACAUACACACAAACAAACCCGUACACAUGAAAUGCAAGGCCACCCCUCAGUACGGGGACGUGGCUCGUAAAACACAGCACGACAGGCUGAUUGAUCCGACGCUGAAAAUGGGCAAUAUUCCUCCCGCAUCGAUAUCAAUAAAAGCUUUCAAGCUUGAGGCCGCCCAGACCUCCUUUUUGUUUCUCUUCGAGCUGAGAGGAGGGAGGAAAAAUCCAUAGACAAUUGAUGGUGUCUGGAAGAAAGACUCUAUCGAAGUAUAUCAAAUCGGACUAUCAAAGAAGGGGGGGGGUUGGGGUGGGGUGUGGAGUUUGCCCUGUAAAUUAGACUGUUUGCUUCAAGUUCAGUGAUAGAGUGACAUGGAUUAAAAAAAAAUUAAAUGAUCUUUUUAUGCCGUGUGCAGUGAAGGGCCUUCAAAUCCCACGCAUCAUCUUCAGCAUGGCGAGCCUGGGGUGGGUUUAUUUGGGAGAGAGCAAAAUGAAUGCAGUGUUUAAGUUGAAAAUAAUCAUCAUAAUGAGUGGUAAUGCCGAACGGGUGAUGACAGUGGUAAGGCUCAGAGCAAAGGAUCAUGGAAAAGAUGUCAUGUAAACAUUGCUAUGCAGGAAUUUGGUUUGAUUUUAAGUAGAUCAUAAUAUAUAAUAAGGGUGGAAAGGAAAGCACUAAACAAGAAUGGGAAAGUAAUCAAAAACGCAUGUGGGUUCAACCUUUGUGUAUUUUCAUCAGGAGUUUGAAUCUUUAAACUUCUUUUUAUGUCUAUUAUUAUCACAUUUAAAGCUAUGCAAAAUGACUGAGCUAGCAUUAAAUGAUGAAAAAUAAUUACGAGUGUAAAUAUGGAACAAGCCGUAGUUCACAAGGUUUUUGAGAAACUUUUUUCAAUAAACCAAAGACAAUUUAGUGGUGCUUUCACUAUGUCAUGGUAGAAACAGUGAACAUAAUGAAACUUUUCACAGAAGCUUCCAUCAGCAGCAGUGGAAAAUGAGCUUUCUGUCACUGUCUCAUUCAAAAACACAGAACAUUUCCAAAGACUCCAAAAACACUCAAAUGUAAGCACAGCAUCUUUGAACUUUGUUUUCAUUAAAGCUCUGUCUGGAUUGGUAUUGUGCAGGCAGGCUGAUGCUACAGUAUAGGCUGCUCAGCUAAAAUCAGGCCAAUCAGUAGUAUAAUGAGAGGUGUAAUAUGUCCCUAGAGAGAGGAGAGAGUGGGGGUUUCAUCAUAUCAGUGGAGCUCCUCCAAUAAUCGUCUUUGUCUCACAAUCCCUGUGUUUCUCUGCAGCCAACUGAACUCAGCCUGCUGUCGAGUCCACCUGUGUUUAAUCCAAAUCUCCUCACUUCCCGUUGUUUAAAUCGUCAACAUAUGUGCCGUUACUUUUUUUUUCUCAUUCGGCAUCUCUCUCUCUCUCUUUCUCUGUCUCGUUGUUCAUCUUGGAAGGGUGUCUAAAAACAGGCCAUUCCCAAGAUAAUUAUCCAAUAGCAAUCAGAAUACACUCUUUAAUUGUAGUCUGGGGUCUUAAUUAUGCACGGCUUUGUUUUCUAUAAAUAUCUUCCUUUUCAAAAGCCACAUCAAACGUAUGAAGAUUUGUUGAAGAGGAAUAUAGCUGUGGCCAGAUGCAGACUUACAUAAGGCCACGCAAAUAAAUUCAUUAUUGUCCUAUGAUAAUAAGAAACGGAGGGGGGAAAAAAGUCAGACGGAGGCAAAAAGACAAAGCACAAUGAUAUAUGUUUAUGAGUCCUGGGCCUAUUAUUAUUUUUUAGCUUGCAUACAUUAGCAUAUUUAUGAGGUUUUCCAUACUUAAAUCUUAUCAGCUUGCCAAAAGAAAAAAGUAUGAUUUCAGCAUUAGGAGAAAACUUUCCGUUAUAUAAAUAAUACUGUACACUCGGUUAUAUAUAUAUAUAUAU
ensembl:lncRNA